rnacentral:rRNA from 1 species
UACGUAGGGGGCGAGCGUUGUCCGGAAUCAUUGGGCGUAAAGAGCGUGUAGGCGGCCCGAUAAGUCCGCCGUGAAAGUCCAGGGCUCAACCCUGGGAUGCCGGUGGAAACUGUCGGGCUAGAGUCCGGAAGAGGCGAGUGGAAUUCCUGGUGUAGCGGUGAAAUGCGCAGAUAUCAGGAGGAACACCGAUGGCGAAGGCAGCUCGCUGGGACGGUACUGACGCUGAGACGCGAAAGCGUGGGGAGCGAACAGG